GAAUCAUUGCAAAAAGAUAUAUACAAAUAUAAUGAUAAAGAUUGCAUUUAUUUGUGAAUAUACUUCAGUAGUGUCUUAAAUCAACUAUACUGUAUAUAUCUCUAGGCACUUGAUAAAGACAAGAGUCUUCAUCACGUUAUGAAAGUAAUAGUUGGUUAGGUGUGCCAUUACAGCAGCCUGAGGCUACAUGUUAGAAGAAAUAAGAUGGCAAUGGACAACAACAUGUUAAAUUAAUUCAGAGAGAAAAUGGACGUGCUUC